rnacentral:rRNA from 1 species
UACGUAGGGUGCAAGCGUUAAUCGGAAUUACUGGGCGUAAAGCGUGCGCAGGCGGCUUUGCAAGACAGAUGUGAAAUCCCCGGGCUUAACCUGGGAACUGCAUUUGUGACUGCAUAGCUGGAGUACGGCAGAGGGGGAUGGAAUUCCGCGUGUAGCAGUGAAAUGCGUAGAUAUGCGGAGGAACACCGAUGGCGAAGGCAGUCCCCUGGGCCUGUACUGACGCUCAUGCACGAAAGCGUGGGGAGCAAACAGG